AGUGAACGCUGGCGGUAGGCCUAACACAUGCCAGUCGAACGGCAGCACAGUAAGAGCUUGCUCUUACGGGUGGCGAGUGGCGGACGGGUGAGGAAUACAUCGGAAUCUACUUUUUCGUGGGGGAUAACGUAGGGAAACUUACGCUAAUACCGCAUACGACCUACGGGUGAAAACAGGGGAUCUUCGGACCUUGCGCGAUUGAAUGAGCCGAUGUCGGAUUAGCUAGUUGGCGGGGUAAAGGCCCACCAAGGCGACGAUCCGUAGCUGGUCUGAGAGGAUGAUCAGCCACACUGGAACUGAGACACGGUCCAGACUCCUACGGGAGGCAGCAGUGGGGAAUAUUGGACAAUGGGCGCAAGCCUGAUCCAGCCAUACCGCGUGGGUGAAGAAGGCCUUCGGGUUGUAAAGCCCUUUUGUUGGGAAAGAAAGGCAGCAGGUUAAUACCCCGCUGUUCUGACGGUACCCAAAGAAUAAGCACCGGCUAACUUCGUG
rnacentral:rRNA from 1 species